rnacentral:rRNA from 1 species
CCUACGGGAUGCUGCAGUGGGGAAUAUUGGACAAUGGGCGAAAGCCUGAUCCAGCCAUGCAGCGUGUGUGAAGAAGGCCUUCGGGUUGUAAAGCACUUUCAGUGGGGAAGAAAGCCUUGGGGCUAAUACCCUCGAGGAAGGACAUCACCCACAGAAGAAGCACCGGCUAACUCCGUGCCAGCAGCCGCGGUAAUACGGAGGGUGCGAGCGUUAAUCGGAAUUACUGGGCGUAAAGCGCGCGUAGGCGGUCUGAUAAGCCGGUUGUGAAAGCCCCGGGCUCAACCUGGGAACGGCAUCCGGAACUGUCAGGCUAGAGUGCAGGAGAGGAAGGUAGAAUUCCCGGUGUAGCGGUGAAAUGCGUAGAGAUCGGGAGGAAUACCAGUGGCGAAGGCGGCCUUCUGGACUGACACUGACGCUGAGGUGCGAAAGCGUGGGUAGCAAACAGGAUUAGAUACCCCGGUAGUC